UUGCUGUGAAAAAGCUUCAUUCAAUGCCACAACGACUUGAAUUUGAAGAGGAAGAAUUCAGGAAGGAGUUUGAGAACCUUAGGAGACUCAACCAUCCUAAUAUUGUAGAGCUACUUGGCUACUGCUAUGAAACAAGGCAUGAAUUUGUCGAGUAUGAAGGGAAGUUUGUUGUUGCUGAUGAAAUCUACAGAGCUCUCUGCUUUGAGUUUAUGCACAAUGGAAGUCUACAAGAACACCUUGACGAUGAAUUCCAUGGACUGGACUGGCAGACGCGCUACAAAAUUAUUAAGGGGACUUGCGAGGGUCUGAAAUAUCUUCAUGAGGGUCUGGAAAGUCCUAUGUACCAUUUAGAUCUAAAACCUGAAAAUAUAUUACUCAACAUGGAUAUGGCGCCAAAACUUGCAGAUUUUGGUUUAUCAAAGCUUGUCUACGAUGACCAGACUCGAGCCACGUUGCGCCCUUUAGGAACAAUUGGAUACUGUCCUCCUGAAUUCAUUGAACAGAAUUAUGUUUCCAACAAGUUUGACAUAUUCAGCUUGGGUAUUGUGAUGAUAAAGAUAAUUGCUGGCUCCGAAGGCUACCGCAAGACAGCUGAAAUGCCUUCCCAAGAAUUUAUCUAUCAUGUACAAGAAAAUUGGAGAAAAAGGGUACAGGUAAUACCGGGUUGUACGUUACAAAAACAUGAAUGCCACCAAAUGAAGAGAUGCAUUGAAAUAGCUUUAGAGUGUGUCAGUGCUGACCGAAAGCAAAGGCCUAACAUUGGGGAUAUCACAAGCAGGCUGAAUGAAACAGAAAAUAAUACUGAGAAUUGGCCAGGACUUUUGCCUCUGAAAAGGAGAGCUUACACAUUGUUGUGACAUCUCUACACAAGAAAUUCCAUGGAGGCUAAAUGAAGAAAACCAAGUGUGCAUGGAAGAAGUCCAUUCUUGUUAGAACAAACAAUCACAGCUUCUUCAUACUUGUUGAUAGCCAAAAUUGUCAAAAUGCACAAUGGACUCCACCGUUAUGUUUCUCUCGUCGAGACGAUCGAAAAGCAUGUAUGGAUUGUCUCGUUUGUUGUUCCUCUCAUCAUGUAUGGACUCCCAAAAGUCCCAACUAUGGAUUCCCUUAACUUUUCCUGUAGCCAAACAGGCGCUGCCGCUUUGCAUGCUCUUUCAGAAUUCCAUUCGUCAAGCAACAGAACAAACAACUAUGGGACGAGCAGAACGUGUUCCGCCGGCUUCGUGGCUCUGCGCCAUGCGCGGCACCGCUGCUGUAGAUCGAGGGCCAAGUUCCUGCUCAACGUCGGGUCCAAGAGGGAGCUCAGGGAGGCCAUCAAGCUCCCCCGCGUGGACGCAGGCAGGAGAGACCAAACGAGCGCAUGGAGGCGACCGUAUUCCAGUUCAUGGCGGCAGCUGCCGUCGUCUCCGCUGCUGGAGGAUGCGGGCGACGUGGUGCACGUGUCUGCAGAUGCGGUGAUUUGUGGUGGCGAAGCUAGAGGGCAGGGCUCGAUCGGCAAGGUGCACGCGUUCGCCCACGCCCACCAAGAAACAGCAACGGUGGUAGCCAUGAAGGAAGCAGGAGGAGGGGACGCAGAGAAAGGGAGGAGAAGGUGGAGGGAGGAAGAAUUACACCCUGGUGUGCUACCACUAGCUGCCUGUCACUCGUGGUCAUCUUCAACUAAGUGGCCCAUCCUCGAUGCCAUGCUCAGCCUCUUCUCAAUGCUUGCCUCGGUUUCCCUAUUGGAUGGACUGUAAAAAGGACACCAUUUUUGCAUCGAUGCUUCAAUUUCACAUGGACCCUGGCAGCGGAGCCGCGAGGGAGAGGGAAAGAGGUUUUCUGAACCCAAGAUCCCAUUUGUACCCAAAAAUAUUAGAGAAAUAGAAACAAGAGAGUUGUUAGUUUC